rnacentral:rRNA from 1 species
UUAAGCGACUAAGCGUACACGGUGGAUGCCCUGGCAGUCAGAGGCGAUGAAGGGCGUGCUAAUCUGCGAUAAGCGCCGGUAAGGUGAUAUGAACCGUUAUAACCGGCGAUACCCGAAUGGGGAAACCCAGUGUGACUCGUCACACUAUCAUUAACUGAAUCCAUAGGUUAAUGAGGCGAACCGGGGGAACUGAAACAUCUAAGUACCCCGAGGAAAAGAAAUCAACCGAGAUUCCCCCAGUAGCGGCGAGCGAACGGGGAGGAGCCCAGAGCCUGAAUCAGCAUGUGUGUUAGUGGAAGCGUCUGGAAAGGCGCGCGAUACAGGGUGACAGCCCCGUACACAAAAGCGCAUGUGCUGUGAGCUCGAUGAGUAGGGCGGGACACGUGGUAUCCUGUCUGAAUAUGGGGGGACCAUCCUCCAAGGCUAAAUACUCCUGACUGACCGAUAGUGAACCAGUACCGUGAGGGAAAGGCGAAAAGAACCCCGGCGAGGGGAGUGAAAAAGAACCUGAAACCGUGUACGUACAAGCAGUGGGAGCCCCACCACUAAGCCAGUGGUGAACUCCACAUACGCAUCCUUUGCUGAGGAUACGGUUAACGGAGCGAAAGCGACGUUCAACCGCAAAAGAAGCAGAGGGGGCUUAGUGGUGGGGUGACUGCGUACCUUUUGUAUAAUGGGUCAGCGACUUAUAUUCUGUAGCAAGGUUAACCGUAUAGGGGAGCCGGAGGGAAACCGAGUCUUAACCGGGCGUUAAGUUGCAGGGUAUAGACCCGAAACCCGGUGAUCUAGCCAUGGGCAGGUUGAAGGUUGGGUAACACUAACUGGAGGACCGAACCGACUAAUGUUGAAAAAUUAGCGGAUGACCUGUGGCUGGGGGUGAAAGGCCAAUCAAACCGGGAGAUAGCUGGUUCUCCCCGAAAGCUAUUUAGGUAGCGCCUCGUGAACUCAUCUCCGGGGGUAGAGCACUGUUUCGGCUAGGGGGCCAUCCCGGCUUACCAACCCGAUGCAAACUGCGAAUACCGGAGAAUGUUAUCACGGGAGACACACGGCGGGUGCUAACGUCCGUCGUGAAGAGGGAAACAACCCAGACCGCCAGCUAAGGUCCCAAAGUCAUGGUUAAGUGGGAAACGAUGUGGGAAGGCCCAGACAGCCAGGAUGUUGGCUUAGAAGCAGCCAUCAUUUAAAGAAAGCGUAAUAGCUCACUGGUCGAGUCGGCCUGCGCGGAAGAUGUAACGGGGCUAAACCAUGCACCGAAGCUGCGGCAGCGAACGUAUCACUUAAAGCGAUUCAGCGGGUUACGAUUGACGGAGCGAAGCGACGUCAAAGCGUAUACAAAGUCGAGUCGGUUUAAGGAUACGUUCGUUGGGUAGGGGAGCGUUCUGUAAGCCUGUGAAGGUGGCCUGUGAGGGUUGCUGGAGGUAUCAGAAGUGCGAAUGCUGACAUAAGUAACGAUAAAGCGGGUGAAAAGCCCGCUCGCCGGAAGACCAAGGGUUCCUGUCCAACGUUAAUCGGGGCAGGGUGAGUCGACCCCUAAGGCGAGGCCGAAAGGCGUAGUCGAUGGGAAACGGGUUAAUAUUCCCGUACUUGGUGUUACUGCGAAGGGGGGACGGAGAAGGCUAUGUUGGCCGGGCGACGGUUGUCCCGGUUUAAGCGUGUAGGUGUGUGUUCCAGGUAAAUCCGGUUCACUUUAACACUGAGGCGUGAUGACGAGGCACUACGGUGCUGAAGCAACAAAUGCCCUGCUUCCAGGAAAAGCCUCUAAGCAUCAGGUAACAUCAAAUCGUACCCCAAACCGACACAGGUGGUCAGGUAGAGAAUACCAAGGCGCUUGAGAGAACUCGGGUGAAGGAACUAGGCAAAAUGGUGCCGUAACUUCGGGAGAAGGCACGCUGACACGUAGGUGAAGUGAUUUACUCAUGGAGCUGAAGUCAGUCGAAGAUACCAGCUGGCUGCAACUGUUUAUUAAAAACACAGCACUGUGCAAACACGAAAGUGGACGUAUACGGUGUGACGCCUGCCCGGUGCCGGAAGGUUAAUUGAUGGGGUCAGCGCAAGCGAAGCUCCUGAUCGAAGCCCCGGUAAACGGCGGCCGUAACUAUAACGGUCCUAAGGUAGCGAAAUUCCUUGUCGGGUAAGUUCCGACCUGCACGAAUGGCGUAAUGAUGGCCAGGCUGUCUCCACCCGAGACUCAGUGAAAUUGAACUCGCUGUGAAGAUGCAGUGUACCCGCGGCAAGACGGAAAGACCCCGUGAACCUUUACUAUAGCUUGACACUGAACAUUGAGCCUUGAUGUGUAGGAUAGGUGGGAGGCUUUGAAGUGUGGACGCCAGUCUGCAUGGAGCCGACCUUGAAAUACCACCCUUUAAUGUUUGAUGUUCUAACGUGGACCCGUAAUCCGGGUUGCGGACAGUGUCUGGUGGGUAGUUUGACUGGGGCGGUCUCCUCCUAAAGAGUAACGGAGGAGCACGAAGGUUGGCUAAUCCUGGUCGGACAUCAGGAGGUUAGUGCAAUGGCAUAAGCCAGCUUGACUGCGAGCGUGACGGCGCGAGCAGGUGCGAAAGCAGGUCAUAGUGAUCCGGUGGUUCUGAAUGGAAGGGCCAUCGCUCAACGGAUAAAAGGUACUCCGGGGAUAACAGGCUGAUACCGCCCAAGAGUUCAUAUCGACGGCGGUGUUUGGCACCUCGAUGUCGGCUCAUCACAUCCUGGGGCUGAAGUAGGUCCCAAGGGUAUGGCUGUUCGCCAUUUAAAGUGGUACGCGAGCUGGGUUUAGAACGUCGUGAGACAGUUCGGUCCCUAUCUGCCGUGGGCGCUGGAGAACUGAGGGGGGCUGCUCCUAGUACGAGAGGACCGGAGUGGACGCAUCACUGGUGUUCGGGUUGUCAUGCCAAUGGCACUGCCCGGUAGCUAAAUGCGGAAGAGAUAAGUGCUGAAAGCAUCUAAGCACGAAACUUGCCCCGAGAUGAGUUCUCCCUGAGACUUUAAGUCUCCUGAAGGAACGUUGAAGACGACGACGUUGAUAGGCCGGGUGUGUAAGCGCAGCGAUGCGUUGAGCUAACCGGUACUAAUGAACCGUGAGGCUUAACCUU